UAGGUGUGUGUACUUUACUUGUUGCGUAGGUUUGUACGCAUGUACAUACACACACAUAUAU
rnacentral:miRNA from 1 species